rnacentral:lncRNA from 1 species
AUUAAUACUAUAUAUUCCUUCUUAUUUAUUGACAACUUUGGGGGUAUUUGUUUAAGGACUUCUGAGAUCAUGAGUUUUGUUGUUGGCAUUUUUCAUCUACCCACAUCUAAUGAGUCAAAUGAAUAAAAUACAGAAAGACUCCAGAAAACAUCACCAAGGAUGAUGAAGUCUUCAGCAAGAAACAAAAAUUGCUAGGAGAAUGGAUGAUAUUUUCAGUACUGCUAGUAAUAAUUUCUAGUAAUAAAAAAAAGAAAAUUUCAAGAAAGAAAAGUAGAUUUGGGAAGGAUAUAUUUGAUUCAUUGGAUGAUAUCUAGGAACAAGAUUAGUAUUUCUGGACAGUAACUACAGAUGCUCUUUGUCAGCUAGCAAAAAUUAAAUUAAUCUGGAGUCAUGCAAAUCUAAUUUUAAGAUAAUUUUGGAAUGGAAAGGAGGCAUUGCCUACAUACAUCCAACAAGCAAGAGACUACAGAGAGUUGCUACUAUGCAAACAGAAGAAUUUCAGGUAAAAGUAAGCAAUGAGAGUAACAUCUCUUUUGGACUUCAUUCUGACAAACAAGAUGAAGUGGAAAAAUCCUCAGAUCUCCCCUUUUUGGUACCCCCUUAUGCCCUAAGGACUGGCUUUGCAAGGCUGACACACCCAGAAGCUUGCUACAAACAGGAUGAUCUGCUGGAACUCCAGAACAAAGCAAAUGGCUCCACUUCAUAGGGCACUGCCACUCCCCAUGCCAUGACCUGACAAACUAUGAUGGAUUGAUGCUCUGGACUUAUACUGUGUACCAUUAUAAGGACUAUACAAGCCUGCCCCCUCCCCUUGAACAAUGCUGCAACAGGAUGCAGGGCUGCUCUCCUUUUUUCAUCCAAUCAUGUAACUCCCAAAUCUGUGUAUGUCCAACCAAGUAACCUAAGUGUAUAAAAUAACAAGAACCCCUUUCCUUAGUGUCCAGACCUGAGGAAUGGCUCCAUCUGGAUGUGCAUGCAAAAUAAAUCUCCUUCCAUCCUUACUCUUGAGUGACA